rnacentral:rRNA from 1 species
UACGUAGGGUGCAAGCGUUGUCCGGAAUUAUUGGGCGUAAAGAGCUCGUAGGCGGUUCGUCGCGUCGGCUGUGAAAUCCCGAGGCUCAACCUCGGGUCUGCAGUCGAUACGGGCGGACUGGAGUUCGGCAGGGGAGACUGGAAUUCCUGGUGUAGCGGUGGAAUGCGCAGAUAUCAGGAGGAACACCGGUGGCGAAGGCGGGUCUCUGGGCAGUUCCUGACGCUGAGGCGCGAAGGCCAGGGGAGCAAACGGG